rnacentral:rRNA from 1 species
GUGGGGCAGCAGGGGCGUAGCAAUACGUUCGCUGGCGACCGGCAAACGGGUGCGGAACACGUACACAACCUUCCUUAAAGUGGGGGAUAGCCCGGGGAAACCCGGAUUAAUACCCCGUAACAUAGUGAAGUGGCAUCGCUUUAUUAUUAUAGCAGUAAUGCGCUUAAAGAUGGGUGUGCGACUGAUUAGGCAGUUGGCGGGGUAACGGCCCACCAAACCUACGAUCAGUAACUGGUGUGAGAGCACGACCAGUCACACGGGCACUGAGACACGGGCCCGACUCCUACGGGAGGCAGCAGUAAGGAAUAUUGGUCAAUGGACGCAAGUCUGAACCAGCCAUGCCGCGUGGAGGAUGAAGGUCCUCUGGAUUGUAAACUUCUUUUACCUGGGAAGAAAUCCAC